AAAAAUCAGACUAUCUUAGGUAGAAUACUCUUAGUAUUGCAAAUCAUUUCUGAUUCCUAAAUUGGCUCCUGAAGGGUAAAAAAAUGAUUAGCUUUAUUAAUUUACUGAGCCACUGUUUGACAAAGACAAUUUUCCAGAGUGUUCUAUCUUAUCUAACAAAUAUUUAAAUAUUCUAGUCUAGAAUUAUUAGGCACAGAUUCAAUUAAUAUGUUCCCAAGGAUGUUCUCCAUUCUCUAGCUGAGUAUAUAUACAUUUAAUGAGAAUAGUAGUAAGUAAUGUAAGUUGUUAAAAGCAAAAAAAUCAAUUUAAAUGUCUCCUACCUAUUCAUACACGUAACUCUUUACAGAACCGGGUAUCUGUAAUGCAUCUCUCUAAUCUGUUUAACUGUGUGUGGAUUCUCUUAGCUAUGGGAAACAGCAGGACUCUGCAGGUGCCGGACCCCCAGAAGCACCCUGCCCGAGGAGGGCCGCCCAUGUGGUGGGGACGGUAGGUGGAGGGGGGGCGGCUCCAGGGAGGCCCCUGCUGUCGCCCUCAGCUGUAGCGGCUGUCGCGUCCAGGGGCCUUAUCUGACUUCCCUCCCAAGCGUACCUUAAAGAGCGGAGACACGCGUGCCCUCCUCAGGGACUCCUCCAGACUGAAGGAGAAAAGCACCUCGGCCUCAGCGUCUCGGAGAACAUAGCUCUGCUCAUCUGGAAAAGAGAACAGCACACCGUCCACCAGUGCACACCGUCCACCGGUGCACGGCGCCCGGGGUGCACCGUGCCAUCCGCUCCAGGCUGCCCCUGGUCAGGGAUCGCGCCUGGGCCCCCUGCAUUGGGAGCACAGAGUCUUAACCACUGGACCACCAGGGAAGUCCCUGAAGUGCUACAUUUGAAAUGCACCCCCAAAAGUACUCCGUGUGGCACCUCCAAGGGAAGCAGCCAAUCAACGCUCCACUUCAUCAGCAGCCCCGCCCCCGCCCUCACUGGUCCUGAAGAGCGGAAGGCCCCCCCACCCCAGGCUCUAGUCCCGUGUCUUCCACCUGCCCCGUCUCAACCCAGAAGGCACAGAACAAAGCUGUUUGACUCAAGCACACAUUUUAAAUUAAA